GAAGAAAGCUGGCGGCGUGCUUAACACAUGCAAGUCGAACGGAAAGGCCCUGCUUUUGUGGGGUGCCCGAGUGGCGAACGGGUGAGUAACACGUGAGUAACCUGCCCUUGACUUUGGGAUAACUUCAGGAAACUGGGGCUAAUACCGGAUAGGAGCUCCUGCUGCAUGGUGGGGGUUGGAAAGUUUCGGCGGUUGGGGAUGGACUCGCGGCUUAUCAGCUUGUUGGUGGGGUAGUGGCUUACCAAGGCUUUGACGGGUAGCCGGCCUGAGAGGGUGACCGGCCACAUUGGGACUGAGAUACGGCCCAGACUCCUACGGGAGGCAGCAGUGGGGAAUAUUGCACAAUGGGCGGAAGCCUGAUGCAGCAACGCCGCGUGCGGGAUGACGGCCUUCGGGUUGUAAACCGCUUUCGCCUGUGACGAAGCGUGAGUGACGGUAAUGGGUAAAGAAGCACCGGCUAACUACGUG
rnacentral:rRNA from 1 species